rnacentral:rRNA from 1 species
UACGUAGGGGGCAAGCGUUGUCCGGAUUUAUUGGGCGUAAAGAGCGUGUAGGCGGCCUGAAGGGUCAGCUGUGAAAACUCGAGGCUCAACCUCGAGACGCCGGUUGAAACCAUCUGGCUAGAGUCCGGAAGAGGAGUGUGGAAUUCCCGGUGUAGCGGUGAAAUGCGCAGAUAUCGGGAAGAACACCCGUGGCGAAGGCGGCACUCUGGGACGGUACUGACGCUGAGACGCGAAAGCGUGGGGAGCGAACAGG